UUUGAGCCAUUCUGGGUCGCUGAAGCGGAAGUGAUUUUCCGGGGCGGACUCAGUAGUGCGGCAUUGCACUUUCGGCUGCUGGUUGCAGGGCGACGUAGUCUUUGGGGGCUGACGAGCGUGAGUGAGCUGCUCAGGUGAACGGACUCCUGUUUAAACUUCCUAAGUGUAAAAGACUCCAACCAAAAAGAAAAAAAAAACAGUUUCCUCCCUGCCAUUACCGGCCCGAGCUCAGCGCUCCUCACAAACACACACAAACACCCACACUACACUAACACGCAAACAUACCUGAACAUUCAAGCACGCCCAUUCAUCACAUUGCACCAAGGCAAAGACCUUUUCCAUUUCCUGGUGUUUGGUUCGAUUUAGCAUGUAAAAGAUUUUUUCAUGAUUGUAAGAACGGAUUGGUUGAAUGUUUUUUCUUUAUAUGUUAUUUAAUUUGCUUGCGUUGACCAACGAACCUGUUGAAAUUAUUGUUUUUUUUUAUGUGUUGAAGGACAUAUGUUUUUUUGUUUAUUUUGACUUGAAACCAAAGUGAUAUCUUUAUACUCUUUAUAUACUUUUUCAUCCUCUCUGUUUCCAGUACCUCCUGUUGAGGAAAUAGUGUGCGAAACUAAGGGUGCUUAAUUUUUAUCUCCUUUUUUUGUUGUUUUGUGUGAUGUUCUUACAUUCAUUGUCUAUGAAAAAUAUACCUAAAUAACCAUGACAAUGAACUUGUGAAUUAUUUUUGUUUUUCUUUCCUUGUUAGUUUGGUGAAAAUAUAUAACGGUAAUUGUGAACUUUCUUUGUGUGAGACUCUGAUUUAUGUUUGUAAUCGGUGGCUAACAGAGACAUUCCAGGGAAAAAAAACAAAAAAACAAGUAGCAUUUGUAUUUUGAUAAAAUUAAGCUUGUCUGGCGCCCGAACUGUGUAUAGUUAAGUUAGACGUUUUAUUUAAGUUUCUUUGGGCCUGCUACCGUUACAACCUCUGUUCAUCAAUUUGCACUGGCUACCAAUAGCUCAGUGGUUCUCAAUUCCCGUCCUUGCACCACCCUGCU
ensembl:lncRNA